rnacentral:rRNA from 1 species
GACGAACGCUGGCGGCGUGCCUAAUACAUGCAAGUCGAGCGGAUGAAAGAGGAGCUUGCUCCUCUAGAUUCAGCGGCGGACGGGUGAGUAACACGUGGGCAACCUGCCCUGUAGAUUGGGAUAACCCCGGGAGACCGGGGCUAAUACCGAAUAAUCCUUCGGACCUCAUGGUCCGAUGUUGAAAGACGGUUUCGGCUGUCACUACAGGAUGGGCCCGCGGCGCAUUAGCUAGUUGGUGAGGUAACGGCUCACCAAGGCCACGAUGCGUAGCCGACCUGAGAGGGUGAUCGGCCACACUGGGUAUGAGACACGGCGCAGACUCCUUCGGGAGGCAGCAGUAGGGAAUCUUCCACAAUGGACGAAAGUCUGAUGGAGCAACGCCGCGUGGGUGAAGAAGGUUCUCGGAUCGUAAAACUCUGUUGUGAGAGAAGAACAAGUACCGGAGUAACUGCCGGUGCCUUGACGGUACCUCAUUAGAAAGCCACGGCUAACUACGUGCCAGCCGCCGCCGUAA